GCAGUCGAGCGGAACGAGUUAUCUGAACCUUCGGGGAACGAUAACGGCGUCGAGCGGCGGACGGGUGAGUAAUGCCUAGGAAAUUGCCCUGAUGUGGGGGAUAACCAUUGGAAACGAUGGCUAAUACCGCAUGAUGCCUACGGGCCAAAGAGGGGGACCUUCGGGCCUCUCGCGUCAGGAUAUGCCUAGGUGGGAUUAGCUAGUUGGUGAGGUAAGGGCUCACCAAGGCGACGAUCCCUAGCUGGUCUGAGAGGAUGAUCAGCCACACUGGAACUGAGACACGGUCCAGACUCCUACGGGAGGCAGCAGUGGGGAAUAUUGCACAAUGGGCGCAAGCCUGAUGCAGCCAUGCCGCGUGUGUGAAGAAGGCCUUCGGGUUGUAAAGCACUUUCAGUCGUGAGGAAGGUGGUGGUGUUAAUAGCUCCAUCAUUUGACGUUAGCGACAGAAGAAGCACCGGCUAACUCCGUGCCAGCAGCCGCGGUAAUACGGAGGGUGCGAGCGUUAAUCGGAAUUACUGGGCGUAAAGCGCAUGCAGGUGGUUUGUUAAGUCAGAUGUGAAAGCCCGGGGCUCAACCUCGGAAUAGCAUUUGAAACUGGCAGACUAGAGUACUGUAGAGGGGGGGUAGAAUUUCAGGUGUAGCGGUGAAAUGCGUAGAGAUCUGAAGGAAUACCGGUGGCGAA
rnacentral:rRNA from 1 species